rnacentral:rRNA from 1 species
UACGGGGGGAGCAAGCGUUGUUCGGAUUUACUGGGCGUAAAGGGCGCGUAGGCGGUCAGCACAAGUCAGUUGUGAAAUCUCCGGGCUUAACUCGGAAAGGUCAACUGAUACUGUGCGACUAGAGUGCGGAAGGGGCAACUGGAAUUCUCGGUGUAGCGGUGAAAUGCGUAGAUAUCUGGAGGAACACCGGUGGCGAAGGCGGCGUUCUGGACUGCUACUGACACUGAGGAACGAAAGCCAGGGGAGCAAACAGG